GCAGGUUGCGCAUGUCCUCCGGGAUGAUGGGGACACUGUUGGGACCGCCUCUGCUAAAGAGGAGGAAGGAAUGGGCAACGGUAGGUCAGCAUGCCCCGAAUUAUCCGGGCUACACGCGGGCUACAAUGGGUGGGACAAUGGGUAUCGACACCGAAAGGUGAAGGCAAUCUCUUAAACCUGCUCGUAGUUCGGAUUGCGGGUUGCAACUCGCCCUCAUGAAGCUGGAAUCUGUAGUAAUCGCGUCUCAAAAUGGCGCGGUGAAUAUGUCCCUGCUCCCUUGCACAAAAAACCUCUGCCUUGGGUCCCUGCUCCUUGCACAUGAAACGAGGAACUUAUGAGAAAGGCUAUAGGGCUUUUUCCCCCCUUGAGCAAACCAUGGAUGUACGGACUGCUUCCUUAAUUCUACGUGUCCCUGCUCCCUUGCACAAA
rnacentral:rRNA from 1 species